AACGCGAAGAACCUUACCUGGGCUUGAACUACUGGUAGUAAGCUUUUGGAAACAUUAGCUGAUCCGCAAGGAAGCCAGCAGAGGUGCUGCAUGGUUGUCGUCAGCUCGUGUCGUGAGAUGUUGGGUUAAGUCCCGCAACGAGCGCAACCCCUACUCGAUGUUGCCACUCCCGCAAGGGAAGCACUCUUCGAGAACUGCCUUCGAUAAGAAGGAGGAAGGUGGGGACGACGUCAAAUCCUCAUGGCCCUUAUGUCCAGGGCUACACACGUGCUACAAUGGCCGGUACAACGGGAAGCAAUACCGCAAGGUGGAGCCAAACCCUUAAAGCCGGCCCCAGUUCAGAUCGUGGGCUGAAACUCGCCCACGUGAAGGCGGAAUCGCUAGUAAUCGCGAAUCAGCAGGUCGCGGUGAAUACGUUCCCGGGCCUUGUA
rnacentral:rRNA from 1 species